AGCAAACAGAAGCCAGUUGCAUUUCUGAGAAGCGAUCCUGUAACGUCUGCUGAACCAUUUGGAGCUGCAAAUCAGAGAGGAGGAGGUUUGCACAUCACACGGAGCCACACAAGUUUGUUUAGUGACAAGCAAAACAAUGAGCAUCUCUGUAGGCUGGACUUGACCAGUAAAGUUUUCUGAGUCAUCCCUAAUCUAGUUAGCUAAGCUUCGUGUCCCUCGGACUUCUGGGAAGAGUAUGGAAGGAAGCCCUCGGUCAGCUGAACUUGUAAAAAGGCAUCAUGGUUUUGUUUUUUUAUUCCGGUCAAAGUCAAAUUCCCAGGUUUACAUCACUAACCGUGGCUAACCAGGAACAGACCACAAGGCAUGCUUGCUUGUAAACACGGUUAAUGGCUCAGCCGUAUUGUCUUCCUCUGUGUAACCAAGUCUUAAUUUCUCUGGGAUGCCCUAUAAAGUAUUACUGGUACCCCCAUCUUGCAGGGGUUAGUGAAGGAUAAAUCAAACAAACAUACGCAAAAAGCAUUCAAAUUAACGCUCAGCAUUACCAAUCCGUCAAAUGAGACUCGAACGAUGCGUUUAGGACGCUCCAAACUCUACUUCCCAUUUGAGGCACAGACACUGUAAUGUUAGCCAGGUUCAGUUUUAAAAAAGGCUGGUUAUUAUAACAAUUAUCGCCGCUUUGGUUUUGCAUCGCCUCUUUCGAAGGACCGAGCUGCAUUUUCUACCCCUUGUAAAAGCAGAACUCUGGCUUAAAUCCCAAAUUUGCAUUUCUUUGGCAGAAGUCGUUUCGCGGUAGGAAUACGAUUUUAAAUAUCGUUGCUGAUGAAACGCGCUCUAUCCCCGUUUUUAAAAUAGGUUCUGCAAAACCAAAAGCCCCGAUUGAAUCUGGCUUUUGACUGACCUCACGGAAGGCAAGGAUCCUCCUCAGAUCCCAGCUUCUAUAUCAACUUUUUUUUCAUGGCCCCAUAAUCCCUUACAGGAUGGAAUCUGGGCAGCUGAACGUAGCUGAGUGUUUAGUGGCCGGAUGCUCUUCCUGUCACCAACGCUGAGUUUUUUUUGUUCAGCAGAUAUCUUCUCACAGUGCCCAGAGAAAAGAAAUAUCUGCCUCUAACCUAGGAUCAAACUCACAGCUUCUAUAUCAACAUGGUAUGCUUUAUUGGAAGUUGACAAGUGCAAUCAUUAAAUAUACUGGUAUUUUUUACCAUUUUCCUCCCAAUUCAUCGCCCAGAACAUGCACAAGAACAUAUGCAUCUUAUUACACAGAUCGUAUACCUGCCUCCAAAAUGUGAGGAAUUUCUUCUUUUUUUUUAAAUAACUUUUGCUUUGGUGAAUUCAUCCUUGCCCUUCCCCCACCCGCUUUAACCGGGAACUGCAGAGGACAGAGUUUUGACUUCAAUAUAUCUUCAUUUUCCAAGGCAACUGACAAUAAGCAGCACCAGCCGAUGCCCGAAGAGCUGUAUAGGUGCAAAAUCGAAUCCACGUAGUGUCAAAAAAUAAAAUAAAAUAAAAAACUUCUUUUAAAAAAAAAAACCAUAACGGAAAAAAAAAAAUCGCUAUCCAAACUGGUUCAGUUCAUACUUUUUAAAUUCACUCUGUACAACUGAAUGGAGUAGUUACAGUUCCUAUUUUACAAAGUAAUUAUACACUAAAUACACAAAUAUACAUUAAGCAGACAAACCUUCAUCAGACCAUCCUAUGUCACAGCAUUUUUUUUUUUUUAAUAUCUACCGGUUCCUCUCCUAGAAAUAUUUUAAUUUUUUUUUUUAAAUUUUCUCCCACACCUUCCUUGGCUAUAGAAAAUGAGUGCGCAUCUGCUUUUU